AGCUCAUGGGGGAGGGAGAAAUCCUGACGGAGGGAGAAAUCCUGACGGAGCUCUCAAAUCCACAGUCCAUAGGAAUGAUUCUGCCAGAGCCAGCUCAAAACAUGCCAGUUUUCUGGCAAACAUUGUGUGAAGAAUACAUUUGCUACAGUGAAACCAUUUUUAGUUCAGCCACUGGCCAGGCGUCAUGGACAGGUUCACCUGCAUGUGCAGUCCAGACCUUGCAAUGUGUGAAUGGGAGUCUUGAAGAGAGAAGAAAAGUGGUAAGCAUUUGCUUUAAACAACCUACAGGCUUGGAAGGAAACAGGGAUGUUGAGUGCAGCUACAUCAUUGUAGCCAUAGGCUAAGAGGCAGAGGUGUCAAGAAAUUGGCUGCCUAUGGCAGAGGAGAACUCUGAGAUACAGAGUCACAGGUGCCUGAAGUCAAGCUUUGCUUUCCCCAACCCAGCCUCAGGACUCUACCACCUUUAUUCCAGCUGACUGACACACAGUGGCUUGUGCUGGAAGGCUGUCCUCCCAGUGCAGUAGAUCGCUGCCGACUGCCUGGCUCCCUGCAGGGGGAGAAUCUCCACCAAGAGUCCAAACCCAUUUGAGCUCGCUGCAGAAGCACAGAGUGAAAAGGUCAGGCUCAAGGUGGUAAUGUUUCAAGGUUGAGCUCUGUAAAAAAGACUGAGCAGAAGGCCUAGUAUAUAAGGUCUUCAGAGAGCUAGUUAAAGACUAAUGCUCCAAGAGGGGAUACUGAAAGGUUAAUAGUAUUUUAUACCCUGGAAAUUUGAAACAGCACUGUACAGUGUAAACCAGAACCAACUGUGCCUUUUUUCUUUUACAGUUCACAUAUUGCAAGACAAAGUCUUUUUCAUGUCAUUUUGAUUAAAAGUCUUCUAUUCUGCAUACUUUUUGAUCUUUCAGUGGCUAUCAGCAUAGAGAUUUCUACUGUGAGAAACACAAGCUCUCCUACUUCACUGUCUGUUGCAGUAAGAAAUGCGAACAAACAUACCUAUCUGCAAAUUUUCAAAAUGAGCUUAAGAACUGGAGUGUUUACUUUUGGUGUUGCACCAAUAAAACAUUUUAAAGCGGACUCCA
ensembl:lncRNA